rnacentral:rRNA from 1 species
CAUCGUCUAAAGUUUUUAUUUUAGAUAAUGCCUGCCCAAUGAAAAUUAAUGGCCGCAGUAUCUUGACUGUGCAAAGGUAGCAUAAUAAAUUGUCUUUUAAUUGAAGGCUAGAAUGAAUGGCUAAACGAAGACUAAACUAUCCCAUUAUUAAUUAUAAAAUUUAAAUUCUAAGUUAAAAUGCUUAGAUACCUUAGUAGGACGAGAAGACCCCAUAGAAUUUUAUAAUAAUUAUAAUAUUUUAUUAGAAUUUUUAUAAAUGUUAAAAAUAAGUUAUUUAGUUGGGGCGACUAGAAAUUAAUAAACAUUUCUUUAUUAAACUUAAAUAAAAGAAUUAUUGACCCUUAUAAUGGUAAAAGAAUAAAUUACCUUGGGGAUAACAGCGUAAUCUAUUUUUAGAGUUCUUAUCAAAAACUAGGUUUGCGACCUCGAUGUUGGAUUAAGAUUCAUUUAUAGUGUAGCAAUUAUAAAAUGAGGUCUGUUCGACCUUUAAAAUCUUACAUGAUCU